rnacentral:misc_RNA from 1 species
AAACCCUCAAGCUCAGCUUGGUGUUGGGUGCUUGUCCUCCCCCCGUGGUGGACUCACCUCAAAUGCAUUGGCGGCCUGUAUGUUGGCUUCGAGCGCAGUAGAAUCGCGCCCUGAGUCUCUACAUGCAGGUCCCCCAGAAGCACCUUUCUUAU